UGGCCGAGUGGUUAGGUGAUGGUCUGCAAAACCUUUUUAAGGCGGUUCGAAUCCGCC
rnacentral:tRNA from 1 species